AUCAAAUUUCUCCCUCGCUCUCCCUCCCGCGCUCACCCUCUCUCCUCCGGCGAGUUCAUCGGCCACCGAAAAUCCUCCCUCACUCCAUCGCUCUCCCUCCCGCGCUCAUCCUCUCUCUCCUCCGGCGAGUUCUUCGGCAUCGGUGAAGCUGUCCGUCCGUUGCAAGGUUCCAUCCACUGUCUCUCUCACUCAGGCGACGUCUACAGCCACCGGCGAAGCUCCUGUCUCUCUCUCACUCCGGCGAAGCCGAAGGCUCUCUCUCUCCUCCACCGGUGGUAAGUGGAAAAGUUACUCAUUAUAGCUGCCUAAAUGGACAAGGAGGGUGAAGUUAAAUCUUUGUAUACACGUAUUCCAAAUGAUGAAGAUUUUUUGGAGCAAGAUUGCCCUCAAAUAGAUGUGGAUGAAGAAGUUGAAGAACCAAAUGUCUUAAGGAUCACUUGUUCGGAUGAAGAGUUGGAUGAUUCCUACAACAUAUAUUGUCUAUAUAUCCUCUUCCUUUGAGCCAAAUAGUAUUACUUCACCUUUUGCGGCAUCUAACCUACGGUAUCAAUAUCAAUAUGCCCCACACAUUUGGUUGGAUGAUAAGCGUCGCCAAUGCUAUAAUCCUAGCAGACCCAAUGAUUGCAACGCAGGUGCAGCCCAUCUUUAAUAAAGUUUAUGCCGUUCUCAACCAUCGACAAUACUUGCCUACGAUUACUGGUGAUGAGCUUUCAAGUAUCCGCUCUCUGAUACAUGUCAUUAUGUCCAAGAGCAUGUAAAAUUUAAUAUAGUUUAUGCCUUUGAUGUUGGCAUUUUUUUUAGGGAAUUGUCAUGUAACUGUCUUUUUGAGAAGUUGCCAUGUGACUUUGUCUUUUUGAGAAAUUGUCAUGUAACUCUUUAAAAGGAUUGUGUUGGGAGCAACGUGGAAGAGCUUUGUCAUUUAUGUUUAUUGCAUAUUUCUUAUUGUUUAUGAAAGUUUUUUAUAGGGAAUGUAAUGCCUUAAAGAAGACUGAUAAAUUCUAGUGUCCUAUUUACCCAUUUUCAUGCUUAAAACACCGAAACAGGACCCAAAAGGAAUAUUUGCUUUAUGCAUAGCAGAGUAAGAA